UAGGGAACGUGAAAGGGACGGACCUUCGGGAGCCUAUACAGGUGUUGCAUGGCUGUCGUCAGCUCGUGUCGUGAGAUGUUCGGUUAAGUCCGCUAACGAGCGCAACCCUCGUCGUAUGUUAUAUGUGUCAUACGAGACUGCCGGUAAAAAGCCGGAGGAAGGUGAGGAUGAUGUCAAGUCAGCAUGACCUUUAUAUCCAGGGCUACACACACGCUACAAUGGUCUGUACAAUGGGUAGCCAAGCCGCGAGGCGGAGCCAAUCCUGAAAGCAGGCCUCAGUUCAGAUUGUAGGCUGAAACUGCCUGCAUGAAGUUGGAGUUGCUAGUAGCCGCAGGUCAGCACACUGCGGUGAAUACGUUCUCGGGCCUU
rnacentral:rRNA from 1 species